rnacentral:ncRNA from 1 species
UAAAGUAUUGUUCGUAGGCUAAGUAACAUAAGGGUAUUAAUUUCAGAGAGCUUGUGGUUAGUGUAAACAAGUAAUUAAUUUUUAUGCGAAUCUACCUACUUAUAUUGAACAAUCGGUUUUAACCGUUAUCGAUAGUGGAGUGCAAUUUAGUUUAUUUAAUUAAAUUGUUAAAUAGGGUGGCAACGCGUAGACCACGUCCCUUGU